UACACUGUAAAAAGUGCUACACCCACAAAGUGCAGCAUUUUUCUCGGCUGUUGUUCGCUGCAGCGGAUCUGGAUUUCAGGGACUGGUUAACACGGACCCAUCUGCCUCUGUGGAGAAAAGGAGAGAAGUGGUCCUGAGAUGCCUGAUUGAGUAUGUGGGGGAGAGACAGGAAGACCUCAUCAGUGUCCACCA